rnacentral:misc_RNA from 1 species
GAUGAAGAACGUAGCGAAAUGCGAUAAGUAAUGUGAAUUGCAGAAUUCAGUGAAUCAUCGAAUCUUUGAACCCAUCUUGCGCUCCUUGGUAUUCUGAGGAGCAUGCCUGUUUGAGUGUCAUUAAAUUCUCAACUACACUGACUUUGAAUUGGUGUGGCUUGGAUUUGGGGGGAAAAUUGUUGUGGGCUUUUUGUAUAGUCUGCUCCCCUGAAAUUGAUUAGCGGUACCUUUGUGGAACUGUCUACAGGUGUGAUAAUUAUCUACAUCUUAGACAUCUGCUGGAAUGCUGCUUUCUAAACCUUACUUGUAUUGACAAUCUUGACCUCAAAUCAGGUAGGACUACCCGCUGAACUUAAGCAUAUCAAUAAGCGGAGGA